UACGUAGGUGGCAAGCGUUGUCCGGAAUUAUUGGGCGUAAAGCGCGCGCAGGCGGUCCUUUAAGUCUGAUGUGAAAGCCCACGGCUCAACCGUGGAGGGUCAUUGGAAACGGGGUGGACUUGAGUGCAGAAGAGGAAAGCGGAAUUCCACGUGUAGCGGUGAAAUGCGUAGAGAUGUGGAGGAACACCAGUGGCGAAGGCGGCUUUCUGGUCUGUAACUGACGCUGAGGCGCGAAAGCGUGGGGAGCAAACAGG
rnacentral:rRNA from 1 species